UACGCCUACUCUAAGGGAAAGCAAAUGGCGUAACCUUAUCCUGGGUCAAGAAUGUUUUCACAAAAAAAUAUUGCUGACUGAAUAAGAUAAAUUGUUAACAAUAGAAUCGAAAUUAUCGAAUCGUUAUAACAGAAUUUAAAAUAUCUAAGUAAAGCAAGAAUCUCUAGACACUAGGACUCUAGAGAGAAUCCACUUGACCUAAAACACCGAGAAAGCGUGUUGGUUUGUUAACGAAUGGACAAUCAGAAUUUUUUCAUUUGGAUU